rnacentral:rRNA from 1 species
GACGACGACGUUGAUAGGUCGGGUGUGUAAGUGUAGCGAUACAUUGAGCUAACCGAUACUAAUGAACCGUGAGGCUUAACCUUACAACGCCGAAG